GACUGAUAAGUGAAGCAAAGCAUUUAAAAAUGAAUGCUAAUCUUUGGCUCGGAGAUGUUUUUAGCAAUAAAUAAACUUUCUUUCUUUACGUACCGGUAUUGGACCGGUCUCUCCAGAAGCACAAGUUUGCUUGUUUUAAAUAUUUACCUCAAGAACGAAACCAUCACGUCAUGUGACGCGUUUAGCGUGGACGUAAAUAGAAAUGUUUGGUUUCCCCGAUUUUGUAACAGGUCAUGGCUGUCUAGAUACGUCAAUGCGGCUCCUGCCGGUUUGAUUGAAACAUCGGCUCCGAUGUGUAAUCAAUGUGCACCGAGACGCGUUUUGUAGCGGUCGAUGUGGUAAAUAAGACAUUAGUUUUUACCCCUCCCAGAGCAUGCAUUGGACAGUUGAAAUGAAACGAGAGAGGAACUGAAAACUUCAGAAUUACGGAGGUGGAUCGACCGACGAAAAUAGUUUCUACUUUUUUUAUUGUAGCUACAAGUGUUUGUCCUUUUUGUGUGUGCCCCGUCCUGUAGCAGAAAAAUUGAAUUCCAACGGGUCAUUAAAAUGUCACCUCUAUCGCGAUGGAACGACACCCUUGCCCGGGGUGACAGGGUAGGCGCUGGCGACGCGGGAAAGCAGAUAGCCACCGCUGGAGACACAUCGAGACGUGUCCCAAAGGGCGUGUGCCACUGGGCGAUGUGUGCCACUGUUGUCGAUAAAUCCGAUUCCAGCUGCUGAUUAGGGGUUGACGGCGUAUUUUUCCUCCUCUUUCUCUCUCUAUGUCUGUCUCUAUAGAGUUGUCCUGACUGUCCAUAUGUCCACGCUCUAUUUAGUGAAGGACAUACGAAUCCACGUACAUCCUUCCGGGUAAGAGGGGGGGAAGGUUUAGAUCGAUCCUGGGCCAUUCCACCGCAAGCUAACGGAUCGAUGUGCGUUUGCUUGCUGUCUUGCGGCGUGGACUACGAUAAUGAUGGAAAAGCGAUAUGUCGUCAGGAGUGUGGGAGUGCACACAAACAAACACACCCCACCCCCCCGGACCGUACUGAAUCAGCUGAAAGGUUGGUCGAACGGAUGGGAAAAAUAAAAAACGACACUCCGGAAACAAGGCAAAGGGGAAAGAGGGAGAGAUAGAGAGAAUGAAAGGAUGAAACAAAAAGUGAACUCCGGGCCAGGAAUUAAUAGAGCAAAAUGCAGUUUUCCGCUCGGAUGACGAUUAUUAUAUUGACCCGUGGCGUUUUGUAUGGAUGUAUGUACGUGUAUGUAUUAGUGCGUUUGUUUUGCGGACGGUUGCAUUUCGGAAAACGAACCACCUGGCACAGGGAGGAAAGGAUGAACCUGAGCGGGUCGUUAAUGAUGAUGGGCACAGGGGACAUGGUGAAGUGGUGGACAAAGGACGCAUUUCCUGUCCAUUUUGUGUCCAAAGCCUUUUCCAACUGGUCUUGCUGCUGUUGCUGCUGCUGUGUAGCACGCAAAUGCCAUUUGCGUUUUUCGUGUCUCCCUCGAACUCUCCGUACGGAGGGAAGGAGUGCAAGGUGAAAAAGGACGAAACAUCCUUCGUACAUGGUUUCGUGGUGAGUAUCUACACGCCUGAGUAACCACACAACUGUUGUAAGCGGGGGAAAACGGUGGGCAAUGAGUACUUUCCUUCGUCCACCGUCCUCAUUUUCCACUGUUUAUUAUUCAUAAGGGUGAGAGCGGUCGAACGGAUUGAUCGGAAGGGAUGCAGAGCGUGCGGGGGAUUGGGCAUGAGGUAGCUAACGACGAAAACCAUCCCCCACCAGCCAGGCCAGGGCCAGGGCCACUUUUAGCCAGAAACUCGAACAUAAUCAAGCUGCUUUGCCGUGUUGAGCUUCGGGCUUAACGGAAAAAGUUGUUCCCUUUUACGAAGCUCGGGUCGAACGUUAGCAUCGACGUUAGGAUAGGUUCGGUUAGUGCCAGCACACCUGCUGACCAGGUCGUUAACGGAGCAGUUGAGACCAAAAAGCAAAACAACUUCCAUUGUGCAUUGUUUUGUCGGAACACUUUUCCGGGUCAGCCAGUAGUUACUUCUGACCUUUUCCAACAUACUCCUUCAUUCGGCGUGGACGAGUGGGUAAAAUUUUGGUAGCAUAUAAAACAAAAAGGAUCAUUUUUUGUGUGCUGUCCGUAGUUGCAGGUGGUCCGCUUUGUAGAAUCUACAGGGAAAACUAACUUUACCUUCGACAAUAAGGGUAACGUGCACUGCAAAUGGUUUAACACGUAACCGGUGUACGUUUUCGAUUUGCCCGCUGCGGUAGUAAAUUAUUCACACAAUAUCGAUGAAUUGCUGUGAACUAUUUCAAAUAUUUCCUUACAUUGAAAGCAAAUAUGGGUCUUUUAAACAAGCUUUCCCUUUUCGUGAAGGAGACGCCUAGUACUUCAUCCAGUGUAGUCGAUACGCAACACAAACGUUUUGUA